CUCUUCCUUCGUCAGGUCUUACUUGAGCUUCCUUCUCAUACUCUUGCUUCUUGUUCUAGACCAAAGAGAGCUUUCUCGACAAGUUAAUGAGUGAGCUUGACUGUGACCUUCUUGUACUAAUUCAUAUCUACAUCUCUUGCAAUACCUACUUCUCUUGCUUUCUAUAGAGGUUAUGUUGUAAGGGUUAUAGGUUAGGUUAUUAGGUAAGAGUGUUAUAGUAGCAUCAUUACCUUCCCAGAUGUAAUAAAUCUUCUUGUCCUUCUUUCUCGGCAAGUUAAUGAGUGAGCUUGACUGACCUUCUUGUAUGUAGUAAUUCCUAUCUGCUUCUCUUGCUUUACGGAUUGAAUAAGUUGUGUUGUUGGUUCAGUCUUUCUUUACUCGUCACGUUAGGUUGUCCUCAUCAAGGAAUAGAGUAGAGCAGCUUGUAGGCAGUAAAGCUUUAAUUAAUGAGAAGGAGAGCUAGCUUCUUAAUGAGUAAGUAGUUCUAAGUUCAAGUAGAGAGUAGGUCUAAUCUAAAGUAGAUAGGGAGUAUCGAGUUCUAAGUGUAAUGUAAGUAGUAGGGAGUAGGAUAAUAAGUAUAGAGUUCUAAGUGAAAGAAGUAGAGAGUAAGUCGUAAGUGUCAGUAUAGA